rnacentral:lncRNA from 1 species
AACGACAAAUGGCGGCGUGUUGAGAGGGGCCGCGGCAAGUUCCUGAGGAGGUUCCGGUUGCCUGAGAAUGCCAAGAUCGAUCAAGUUAAGGCAUCAAUGGAGAAUGGUGUCCUCACCGUCACUGUUCCCAAAGUGGAGGAGAAGAAGCCUGAGGUCAAAUCCAUUCAGAUCACUGGUUGAAACUCUCCGUUAAUUGCAGCCUUUUUAAUUUGGUUCUUGUUUUGUUCUGUGUGUUAAUGAACGAUGUGCGAUUGCUGUUAAGUGUGUCGCAUACUUUUGUUCAUGUAAUGUGUUGUCGACUGCUUUUUUAAGUAAUUUUAAGUAAUAAAAAUAUGUUGUUUUCUUGGAAGGAGAAAUAUAUUAAUUAUUAAUUCAUGUAACCGGGGACUUAGCCAAUAUUUUGGUUGUCCAAAUAUUGUGAUAGUGCUUGUGGCAAGCUCUCAACGGAAGAUGUAUGGUGGUGAGCCUUACAAUCUGUAAAUAAGAGUUUGUCGUGGACUUCUUGUUCAAGUGCGCACACUUGAACACCCUUUGAAAGAUUAUUAGAUAACAAUAUAAAAUAUUGCGGCUAUAAUGUAAUUGAUAAUAAAUUUAUUUAUUAUAAAUUGUAUUCGUUUAUUAUAAAUCGUAUUCGUUCUUUCAUGUGA